rnacentral:rRNA from 1 species
UGGGGAAUAUUGGACAAUGGGCGCAAGCCUGAUCCAGCAAUGCCGCGUGUGUGAAGAAGGCCUUCGGGUUGUAAAGCACUUUUAUCAGGAGCGAAACGCUGUCGGCUAAUACCCGGCGGAACUGACGGUACCUGAGGAAUAAGCACCGGCUAACUUCGUGCCAGCAGCCGCGGUAAUACGAAGGGUGCAAGCGUUAAUCGGAAUUACUGGGCGUAAAGCGUGCGUAGGCGGUUUCUUAAGUCUGCUGUGAAAUCCCCGGGCUCAACCUGGGAAUGGCAGUGGAUACUGGGAGGCUAGAGUGUGUCAGAGGGUGGUGGAAUUCCCGGUGUAGCGGUGAAAUGCGUAGAGAUCGGGAGGAACAUCAGUGGCGAAGGCGGCCACCUGGGACAACACUGACGCUGAGGCACGAAAGCGUAGGGAGCAAACAGGAUUAGAUACCCUGGUAGUCCACGCCCUAAACGAUGCGAACUGGAUGUUGGUCUCAACUCGGAGAUCAGUGUCGAAGCUAACGCGUUAAGUUCGCCGCCUGGGGAGUACGGUCGCAAGACUGGAAACUCAAAUGAAUUGACGGGGUCAUAGCUGUUUCCUG